UACGUAGGGGGCUAGCGUUGUCCGGAAUCAUUGGGCGUAAAGGGCGCGUAGGCGGGCCGCCAAGUUCGAGGUGAAAUCCUCCGGCUCAACCGGAGAACUGCCUCGAAUACUGGAGGCCUCGAGGCGGGUAGGGGCGUGCGGAACUGUGGGUGGAGCGGUGAAAUGCGUUGAUAUCCACAGGAACUCCGGUGGCGAAGGCGGCACGCUGGACCCGAUCUGACGCUGAGGCGCGAAAGCCAGGGGAGCAAACGGG
rnacentral:rRNA from 1 species